CUCCACACGCGGACCCAUAUAACCGCACACAGGGUGAUGCUAUGGCGGGCGGGCGGUUAUAAGCGGACAAAGCGGGGCGGUACCGAUAAAUAAACAUGAUAAUAUAGCAUUAGAUAUCUAUUUAAAACUGCACUUUACAUGGCUAUUAAAAGAUAACCAUAGACAUCUGUUAAAGGACCUGGCGUUUAUCUCUACCAGAGCACAGUUUUAAUAUAUUUAAUUGAUUGAAAUUUUAUUUUUCUGCGGCAAUAAUUUAACGUUCGCAUAUAAAAUUUUCUUAACAAGAGAAUAUGAAUUAUAAAUCGAUAUACUUCAUAUCUAGAUAAGAUGAUAAAUGAAGUGUGACUCACUGUGUAGACUGAAGGCCCUAGAUAAGGUUUCGCACUUGGAAGGCACGUCGAAUUGUGGCUUCAUAUUCGUGUAAGGUACAUUAACCCCUUGAAUGAUUAUAACCGUUCGCCGAUUCAACCGUCUGAUUCUGCACUUCGUUGCAACAUGGCAAUUAACAAGGAAUCAGUCGUCUGGAUAUAUUGAAAUAAAGGAAACUUAAUUAAUGGAGAUUUUCGUUACAAUCAAUACAAACAAACGAACGCAUUGUUAACGAGAAUGGCAAAAAUGUUUAUGGCUCACGUAGUGAGAGUCGUAACCGUCGCCUAUAGGCAUAAACAAUACCAUGGAUGUUCCAAAAUUUACCUGGGGUUAGACCCCGCUGGAUUACGCCGCUUGUGUUAGAAAUUGCACAUUCACGCAACGUGCGUAAAAGUUACGUGGCAUAUUUUUUUUUAUUAGGACAGGUAAUUUAUUUUACUUGUAAACUUUAAUUUAUAAUUAUACAUUUGGCGGUUUAGUAAUUGUAAGUUGUUAUAUAAAUGGUUAUUAGUAGGUGGAAAUCAUUGAUCUUACCAGUUGUGCUACUACUUCAGAAGACACUA